GUGCCUGAUGAGCUGUGCCCCAGAGGGACUCCCUCACAGCCAGAGCAAGUGUCCCCAAGAUGAUGUCCCAUGGGGCCCCGGGCUAUUAAAGAAAUACGUGGAAGAUCAGGAGCCUCUCAAACAGAGAGGUGGGCUUUGAGAUGGGCAGUGAGAUGAUCCACCUCUGCGUGGAAAGUUCUCUCUGAGUGCAGUGUGGAGCGAGCAAGGGAGGAGGCCAUGAAAAGCCAGCAGCCCCCAGGAGUGGCCCCAGGUGCCCAGGGCGGGACAAGGAGGAGAUAGACCCAUCCCCACCACUGAAAAGAGUAGCCAAAGGACUAGACACUUGCUUUUGGGGGGCCCGUGCAGGGUGCAGUGGGAUCCUGUGAUGGCCCGAGAUGGGAUGAUGCUGGAGCUAUGUUCUUCUGGGACAGGAUUGCUGCUGAACACGAUCUUCCUGCUGGGGAACUGGGCGGCCCUAAGGAUCGGGAGAAGG